CGAAGGGGGCUAGCGUUGCUCGGAAUGACUGGGCGUAAAGGGCGCGUAGGCGGUUUAUGCAGUCAGAUGUGAAAUCCCCGGGCUUAACCUGGGAACUGCAUUUGAGACGCAUAGACUAGAGGUCGAGAGAGGGUUGUGGAAUUCCCAGUGUAGAGGUGAAAUUCGUAGAUAUUGGGAAGAACACCGGUGGCGAAGGCGGCAACCUGGCUCGAUACUGACGCUGAGGCGCGAAAGCGUGGGGAGCAAACAGG
rnacentral:rRNA from 1 species